UUUUGCAGUGGCAGUGGCUGAUACCAGUUGUUCCUUUCCAUGGUUAGUGCUUCCUUCAGGAGCUCUUGUAAAGCAGGCCUGGUGGUGACAAAAUCUCUCAACAUUUGCUUGUCUGUAAAGGAUUUUAUUUCUCCUUCACUUAUGAAGCUUAGUUUGGCUGGAUAUGAAAUUCUGGUUUGAAAAUUCUUUUCUUAAAAAUGUUGAAUAUUGGCCCCCACUCUCUUCUGGCUUGUAAGGUUUCUGCUGAGAGAUCCGCUGUUAGUCUGAUGGGCUCCCCUUUGUGGGUGACCCGACCUUUCUCUCUGGCUGCCCUUAACAUUUUUUCCUUCAUUUCAUCCUUGGUGAAUCUGACAAUUGUGUGUCUUGGAGUUGCUCUUCUUAAGAAGUAUCUUUGUGGUGUUCUUUGUAUUUCCUAAAUUUGAAUGUUUUCCUGCCUUGCUAGGUUAGGGAAGUCCUCCUGGAUAACAUCCUGAAGAGUAUUUUGUAACUUGGUUCCAUUCUCCCCGUCACUUUCAGGUACACCAGUCAAAUGUAGAUUUGGUCUUUUCACAUAGUCCCAUAUUUCUUGGAGGCUUUGUUCAUUUCUUUUCAUUCUUUUUUCUCUAAUCUUGUCUUCUUGCUCUAUUUCAUUGAGUUGAUCUUCAAUCACUGAUACCCUUUCUUCCACUUGAUUGAAUCAGCUACUGAAGCUUGUGCAUGAGUCAUGUAGUUCUCGUGCCAUGGGUUUCAGCUCCAUCAGGUCAUUUAAGGUCUUCUCUAUACCGUUUAUUCUAGUUAGCCAUUUGUCUAACCUUUUUUCAAGGUUUUCAGCUUCCUUGCGAUGGGUUUGAACAUCCUCCUUUAGCUCGCAGAAGUUUGUUACCAACCUUCUGAAGCCUACUUCUGUCAACUUGUCAAACUCAUUCUCCAUCCAGUUUUGUUCCCUUGCUGGUGAGGAGCUGUGAUCCUUUGGAGGAGAAGAGGCAAUCUGGUUUUUGGAAUUUUCAGCUUUUCUGCUCUGGUUUCUUC
rnacentral:lncRNA from 1 species